rnacentral:rRNA from 1 species
GAAGCUGCUCCUAGUACGAGAGGACCGGAGUGGACGGACCGCCGGUGUACCAGUUGUUUCGCCAGAAGCAUAGCUGGGUAGCUGCGUCCGGAAGGGAUAAACGCUGAAAGCAUCUAAGCGUGAAGCCUGUCCCGAGAUGAAGUAUCUCAUGGAGUAAUCCAGUAAGAUUCCUUGAAGAAGACAAGGUAGAUAGGUUGGGAGUGGAAGUGCCGUAAGGCAUGCAGCGGACCAAUACUAAUAAAUCGAGGGCUUAUCUUU